rnacentral:rRNA from 1 species
UACGAAGGGGGCUAGCGUUGUUCGGAAUUACUGGGCGUAAAGCGCGCGUAGGCGGCUCACUAAGUCGAGUGUGAAAGCCCCGGGCUCAACCCGGGAAAUGCGCUCGAAACUUGUGGGCUGGAGGCCGGAAGAGGGUAGUGGAAUUCCCAGUGUAGAGGUGAAAUUCGUAGAUAUUGGGAAGAACACCAGUGGCGAAGGCGGCUACCUGGUCCGGAUCUGACGCUGAGGCGCGAAAGCGUGGGGAGCAAAC